GUGGGGAAUAUUGGACAAUGGGCGAAAGCCUGAUCCAGCCAUGCCGCGUGUGUGAAGAAGGUCUUCGGAUUGUAAAGCACUUUAAGUUGGGAGGAAGAGUAGUAACCUAAUACGUUGCUACUUUGACGUUACCGACAGAAUAAGCACCGGCUAACUUCGUGCCAGCAGCCGCGGUAAUACGAAGGGUGCAAGCGUUAAUCGGAAUUACUGGGCGUCAAGCGCGCGUAGGUGGUUUUGUAAGUUGGAGGUGAAAUCCCCGGGCUCAACCUGGGAACUGCCUCCAAAACUGCAUGACUAGAGUACGGUAGAGGGUAGUGGAAUUUCCUGUGUAGCGGUGAAAUGCGUAGAUAUAGGAAGGAACACCAGUGGCGAAGGCGACUACCUGGACUGAUACUGACACUGAGGUGCGAAAGCGUGGGGAGCAAACAGGAUUAGAAACCCGAGUAGUCC
rnacentral:rRNA from 1 species